UGCUCUGUCGCCCAGGCUGGAGUGCAGUGGCGCGAGCUCAGCUCACUGCAAGCUCCGCCUCCCGGGUUCACGCCAUUCUCCUGCCUCAGCCUCCCGAGUAGCUGGGACUACAGGUGCCCACCACCAUGCCCGGCUAAUUUUUUGUAUUUUUAGUAGAGACGGGCUUUCACCGUGUUAGCCAGGAUGGUCUCGAUCUCCUGACCUCAUGAUCCGCCGGCCUCGGCAUCCCAAAAUGCUGGGAUUACAGGCGUGAGCCACUGCGCCCAGCCACAUCUGGCAGGUUUCAAUCCCGGCCUUGCUUCUCGGGUAACAGGUGCCUAUUUUCCCUAUCUCUUUGUAAAACAGAAAGUGUUGUAGUAAACAUUAGUGCUCAGAAAGUAAACUGAAAAUGUAGAUGGAUUGCCACUUUGAAUCGGAAGCUCCUAAAAUCUUCUAGCUGAAGAAAAACAUAGAGUUGAAAACUGGAUUUGCUGCUUUUCUGGAAAAAUAAAAAUAUGAAGGCAAUUAAAGAAAAAAACCAUAUCAUGCCCCAAAUUACGAAAAGAACUGGCAUUUGCAAAGAAUAACAUCCUCACUCAGGCCUCAUGUUGUAAGUGAGGAAACUACGAAUCAAAGACAACAAGCAGCCCUCUGCUUAGCUCAGCUCCCAGGAACCAUUCUCUUCCCAGAGCACAUGUUCUGGAGGGGCCUGGUUUUCCAUCUUCUCUGGCCUCGGGAUAUUUGAAGGCAAUCUGGGUUGGUCCCAGCCUUUCCAGCACCUCCUUUCUCCAGCUUGGACUAGAAGCUCUUGGCGUGUGUCACCUGUUUCUGACAUGACAUGGGUUUGAACUCCUUCUUUCCCAGUGUGCCCCACAGGGGAAGUCUCUAGAGCCAGGCCCACCCGGGGACAGCAGAGCAGAGCCCUCCCUCUACCUCCAGGACCUAAAUUCUGCAGUAGGGCCACCUGCCCUGACACCUUCCAAAAGGGUCAUGGUAGAAGAUAUGAAGCAGAAGUCUGCGAGGAUUUCAUCUUCCAACUUUGAGGACCGGGUAUCUGCCCACCCACUCCCAUUUCGCCUUGUCUUUAGUGGAAGCUGGGCUGCACCUGGAGCUGGUGGGUCUGUGGCUGAAGAUCUGCCUUGUACAGCAGCAGCAGGCUCCCCUCCUCUCCUCUUGCUUGCCUGAUGUGGUUGCACUCACCAUGUUUCUUAACUUUUGUAAAAUUCUACAGUGGAAUCUUCAGGACAAGGCCACUGAGUGGUCUCCUGGGUAUUUCCUGUUACUUCGACCAUCCCUCACUGGGCACUGGCCCACUCUGCCUUUAUUUCCAGGGAACGUCCUCCUCAGGUAAAACAUAGCAGAACACAGAUAACACUCUAGCUGAUUUCUUGGUUUUUGAAUCUGAAAAGUCUGGACCCUGGCACAGAACUCACAAUGGGCCCCAGAAAGGAUUUCUUGAGUGGGAAGCUGGACAGCUGGAGGGGAAGUGGGCCCCGAGAGUGGUGGCCCUCCCCAGGGACCCUGUAUUCUGCCCCUCAUGCCCUGGGCUGGGGGUGGAGGUGAGGCUGGGGGCUGACCUCAGAGUGCCCAGCGUGGAGCAGGGACAGAGGAGAGGUCUGCGGGUGUGUCUGGAGGACCAGGUUGGGAGCCUUGUGGAGGUUUCUGUCCUGGAGCCAUGAAACGUUUCCUGGACACCCAAGGGCUGCAUGGGUGUGGCAGGGGAGAGGUGUGAGGGGCAGCCAGGACCUGCCUGUAUCCCAACCAGAGGGCCAGCAGGGUGUCUCCACAGCACCCCGCAUGAGUGGACCGUGAGGCGCCACCCACCCCCAGGCGAUCCUCCUGUCUCCUGUGGAAUCACAGGGACCCCAGGUUGGUGCAGAGCAUCUCUGCCAGUGCAGAAUGGGGCUUCUCAUCGAGGUCAGCUCACCUACAGAACGAGGAAGUUAUGUUUCCUACACACUUGCAAUCGGGAACUGAGCUCAGCGCCCACUAUGCAUUUAGCAACAAUCACAUCUCUCCUCUGAGUUAAAAUACCUGUUAUGGGUAAGAGCAAGACGGAAAAUACAGCUGUGCAGGGAGACCAGCUUCCUCCUUGGACAUGCAGGAAGCCCAUUUUCCAGAUGGCUGUGCCUCAUAUUUCAGGACAAAUGCUAAGGUGAUGAGGGGUAAGGAAAAAUACGUAAGCUUUUUAUUCACUUAUUCACUCAGCAUUUAUGGAGCAUCUGCUAUGCCGGGAAAUACAAUGAUGAAUAAAAUAGACAAGGUUGCCCAGCAACAUGUGCAUGGAGAUUUCGUCUUUUCUGUGUACAACCCCAGCCCCAGGAGGCAAGCCCGCUGGGACACACAUCCCGCGAUGCUGAGUAGAGGAACUCUAAAUAUGCCUCCUCGUAUCAACCACUGACCUUGUCCCUGGGGUGUGCCCUCGGCCAUCACUCUUGAGGAAUGAGGUGGAUCCCGAGUUCUACUUGCUAGUCCAAAUGUUUUUCUCGUAUGGGUCCUGCCACAGAUUUCCUGAAGGUGUGUCACAUUUCCAGUUGAACUUACCCAAGCAUUCACAAUCAUGGGUGGGACUAAAGUAUAUAUUGCCACUCUUUUCUUUAAAGACAAGAGAACAGGCCCAGUGACCUGUUAAAUGAAGAGGUGACAUGACAUGAGGUGUGGCAGGACUCAGCUUUUCCUUUCUUUAAUAACAGCUUUGUUGAGAUAUAACUUGCAUACCAUAUGCCUUUACCAACUUAAAGGGUGCAAUUCAAUGUUGUUUAGUGGAUUAGAGUCGUGUAACCAUCGUCACGAUAGAUGUGAGAACAUAUUUAUCACCCUCCAAAAAGCCCUGUACCUCUUAGCAGCCACUCCGCCUUUCUCCCUCCCACCCCCAGUCAUUGACACCCAGAAAUCUAUUUUGUGUCUCCCUAGAUUUGCCUUUUCUGGAUAUUUCUUGUAAACGGACUCAGACAAAAUGGAUCUUCUGUGUCUGGCUUCGUUCACUUAGCCUAAUAUUUUCAAGGUUCAUUGCAGAAUGUAUCAGUGAAACUUGUACCAAUACUUCAUUUCUUAUCAUGGCCAAAUAACAUUCCGUUGCAUGAAUACAGCACACUAUUUAUUCACUCAUCAGCUGAUGAACAUUUAGAGUGUUCUGACUUUUUGCCUGUUAUGGAUAAUGAUGCCAUUCAUAUACAGGUUGAGCAUCCCUAAUCCAAAAAUCUGAAAUCCAAAAUGCUUCAAAAUGUGAAACUUUUUGAUCAUGAACAUGACACCAGAAGUGGAAAAUUCUCCACCUGACCCCAUGUGACGGGUCCCAGUCAAAAUGCAGGCGCACAACACAGUUGAUUCAGCGUCCCUAAGUGAAAACACAUCCCCCUUCAGCUGGGAAAUAUCUUUCCAUAACAUGCCCCAACUCCCCCCAGGACAGCACACCUACAAAGGGUAAUAAAAUGGCAAGUGUGCAGGCUGGACACACCAAUGGUAGGUUCCCCACAGGGCCCCACAAGGGGCCAAGACCCAUAACAUGGGUGGCUGAGAUAAUGACACCUUCGCUUUCUGAUGGUUCAGUGUACACACGUUUUGUUUCAUGCACAAAAUUAUUAGAAAUGUUGUAUAAGAUUACCAUCAGGCUGUGUGUAUAAGGUGUAUAUGAAACAUAAAUGAAUUCCAUGUUUAGACUUGGGUCCCAUCCCCAAGAUAUCUCAUUAUGUAUAUGGAAAUAUUCCAAAAUCCUCCCCGCCAAAAAAUCUGGAACUUGAAGCACUUCUGGUCCCAAGCAUUUUGGAUAACCAAUGCUCAAACUAUACAAGUUUUCACGUGGAUGUAUGUUUUCAUUUCUCUUAGGUAUAUAUCUAUGAAUGGAGUUGCUGGGUCAUAUGGCAACUCUAUCUUUAACCUUUUGAGGAACUCCCAGACUAUUUUUCAAAGAUGUACAGUUUUACAUUCCCACCAGUAACGUACGAGGUUCCGAUUUCUCCGCAUCCUCGCCAACACUUGCUAUUGUCUCUUUUUGAUCGGAGUCAUGCUAGUCAGUGGGAAGUGGCACCUCAGUGUGGUUUUGUUUUGUAUUCCCCUGGUGGCUAAUGAGGCUGAGCAUCUUUUCAUGUUUUCAUGUGCUUGUCAUCCUUUUGCAUAUCUUCAGAGAAAUGUCCAUGUAAGUCUUUUGCUCAUUUUGAAAUUGGGUUAUUGGCCUUUUUAUUAUUGAGUGCAUAUAUUCUAGAUACAAGCCUCUUAUCAGAUACAUGACUCGGGAAUAUUUUCUUUCAUUCUGUGGGUUGCGUUUUUUUUUUUUUUUUUUAACGGAAUCUCACUCUGUCGCCCAGGCUAGAGUGCAGUGGUGUGAUUUCACCUCACUGCAACCUCCGUCUCCUGGGUUCAAGCAAUUCUCAUGCCUCAGCCUCCCAAGUAGCUGGGAUUACAGGUGUGCACCACCAUGCCCAGCUAAUUUUUGUAUUUUUAGUAGAGAUGAGGUUUCAUCAUGUUGGCCAGGCUGGUCUUGAACUCCUGACCUCAGGUGAUCCACCCAUGUUGGCCUCCGAGAGUGUUGGGAUUAUAGGUGUGAGCCACUGCACCCGGGUCUUUUCACUUUCUUGAUGGUGUCUUAAAUAAAAAGUUUUAAGCUUUGAUUAAAUCCAAUUAAUGUAUGUCUCCUUUUUUUACUACAGGACACAGCUUCUUAAUCAUACACAAAUUAAAAACCUUUUAGAAUGCCAAUUACCUAAAGAGAGGUGGUGAUAAGAUUUUUAAAGUGAGAUGUUAAGUAUGAAACUAUUUUUUAAGUUUUUAGCUUAGAGAUAAGAAGCAAUUGUUAUUUGAAAGCAGAAUGUUUAUUACACUAUGGACACGAAAAUACUUUUUUCUACUAAAUACGAGACCUACCUCCACUGAAGGAACGUGUGAUGAAAAUCCUUUAUGGAAAUGUAUAAGCAUAUUUCUGUCAAAUUAUCCUGCAGUAAAAUAGUGGCUUUGGCAUCCAUUCUUGAGUAAAAUUACAGUUUCUCUUCAUUAAUUUUAUUUUGUACCUCAUCCUGAGCACAGCUGCACUGUUGAGAGUAGGGUCAGGGUUCCCUGAAUGGUGACGUCAGGGAGACUGUUGGUGAGGAGCACUCAGGACGUCAGCUUUUCUUUUCUGAAUUGGCCAGUGAAAGUAAGGCCUAGCAAACUCUGAAAACCUUUGGAGGGAAAUAAAUGCAUGGAAGUUCAUCAGCUCUGGACUGCCAAAUGCUUCCCUGGCAGAGCUGGAGAAACAGCCCCACCCUGGGGCAGGUGGUUCAGACACGGCCAGGACUCUGUCUGCGGUUGUUGUUCCUUUUCUUCUUCUAUAGAAGUGAACGUUCCCGGGCUUGGUAAGUGUGGCCACAAAUCAAGUUGUAGAGAAAAUGAGGCCAGCCCAAAGUUUCUAGAUUCAUUAUAUCAGAGACCAUUCUUUGAAUGAACUCGAUGAUUGAAAUUGAAGAGUGAGAAAAGUAAAUGAACAAGUUCAAUUUAUGGGUGAAGUUUCUGUCCUACCCAUCUGAUGUGGGCUGAACUGUGUCCUGCUCCAACUCCCCCAGUUCCUCAGAAUGUGGCUGUGUUUAGAGACAGGGCCUUUAGAGAGGUAGUGAAAUUAAAAUUAGGUGACCACGGGGGACUCCAAUCCAAUCUGACUGGGGACUGUGUAAGAAGAGGAGAUUAGGACACAGACACGCACAGAGGGACCACCGUGUGAGGACACAGGGAGAAGACGCCAUCUACAAGCCAAGGAGGGAGGCCCCAAGGAGAAUCCAGCCCUACCCAACCCGAUCUCAGGCUUCCAGCCUCCAGAACUGUGAGAGAAUAAAUUUCUGUUGUUUAAGCUGCCCAGUCUGUGGUACUUUGUCAUGGCAGCUCUAGCAAACUAAUACUCUAUUUUUACCAACUUCUGUGGAGAGAAUUUUUUCCCUUUGGAAAUGGAAC